rnacentral:rRNA from 1 species
UGCGUAAUAGCUCACUGGUCGAGUGACGAUGCGCCGAAAAUGAUCGGGGCUUAAGCGAUUUACCGAAGCUGCGGAUUGACUGCGCUUGCGCAGUCACUGGUAGGGGAGCGUUCAAUCCACAGAGAAGCCAUACCGGAAGGAGUGGUGGAGUCGAUUGAAGUGCGGAUGCCGGCAUGAGUAACGUUAAAACAGGUGAGAAUCCUGUUCGCCGUAAGGACAAGGGUUCCUGGGGAAGGGUCGUCCGCCCAGGGAAAGUCGGGGCCUAAGGUGUACCUGAAAGGGGAAGCCGAUGG